UACGUAGGGGGCAAGCGUUGUCCGGAUUUAUUGGGCGUAAAGAGCGUGUAGGCGGCCAGACAGGUCCGUUGUGAAAACUCGAGGCUUAACCUCGAGAUGUCAUCGGAAACUAUUCGGCUAGAGUCCGGAAGAGGAGAGUGGAAUUCCUGGUGUAGCGGUGAAAUGCGCAGAUAUCAGGAAGAACACCUAUGGCGAAAGCAGCUCUCUGGGACGGUACUGACGCUGAGACGCGAAAGCGUGGGUAGCAAACAGG
rnacentral:rRNA from 1 species